UAGGCAAAUCCGGGGUACUCUAUGCUGAGAUCUGAUAGCAAGCUGUACUUGUACAGCGAAGUGGUUGAUGCCAUGCUUCCAGGAAAAGUCUCUAAGCUUCAGUUACACAGGAAUCGUACCCGAAACCGACACAGGUGGUCAGGUCGAGUAGACCAAGGCGCUUGAGAGAACUCUGCUGAAGGAACUAGGCAAAAUGGUACCGUAACUUCGGGAGAAGGUACGCUGUUGUUGGUGAUGGAACUCGCUUCCUGAGCUGACGACAGCCGCAGAAACCAGGCCGCUGCAACUGUUUAUUAAAAACAUAGCACUCUGCAAACACGAAAGUGGACGUAUAGGGUGUGAUGCCUGCCCGGUGCUGGAAGGUUAAUUGAUGGGGUUAGCGUAAGCGAAGCUCUUGAUCGAAGCCCCAGUAAACGGCGGCCGUAACUAUAACGGUCCUAAGGUAGCGAAAUUCCUUGUCGGGUAAGUUCCGACCUGCACGAAUGGCAUAAUGAUGGCGGCGCUGUCUCCAGCAGAGGCUCAGUGAAAUCGAAAUCGCUGUGAAGAUGCAGUGUACCCGCGGCUAGACGGAAAGACCCCGUGAACCUUUACUGCAGCUUGACACUGAACUUUGACCUUACUUGUGUAGGAUAGGUGGGAGGCUUUGAAGCUGGAACGCUAGUUCCAGUGGAGCCGUCCUUGAAAUACCACCCUGGUAAUGUUGAGGUUCUAACUCUGUCCCGUGAUCCGGGACGAGGACCGUGUCUGGUGGGUAGUUUGACUGGGGCGGUCUCCUCCUAAAGAGUAACGGAGGAGUACGAAGGUGCGCUCAGCGUGGUCGGAAAUCACGCGUAGAGUAUAAAGGCAAAAGCGCGCUUAACUGCGAGACCCACAAGUCGAGCAGGUACGAAAGUAGGUCUUAGUGAUCCGGUGGUUCUGUAUGGAAGGGCCAUCGCUCAACGGAUAAAAGGUACUC
rnacentral:rRNA from 1 species